UGGAGUGAGCUCCUCCAGAGAGAGCUUCCGCAGUUCCAUAGGCUUCAGGUCCCACCUUCAGCUGCAGCCCGCUUGUCCUGCGUCGAGGGGGUCAUCGGCAGCAUGGCCCAGGCACUGCCUGUGAAGGAUGCAGGAAGUUCCAUGGAAAGCGCAGCCAUUAGAAGAAAGUUGCCAUUGACAGACGCAACUGAUAAUGGAGAAAUG